rnacentral:rRNA from 1 species
UACAGAGGGGGCAAGCGUUGUUCGGAAUUACUGGGCGUAAAGGGCGCGUAGGCGGCCUGCUAAGUCGAACGUGAAAUCCCUGGGCUCAACCCAGGAACUGCGUCCGAUACUGGUUGGCUUGAAUCCGGGAGAGGGAUGUGGAAUUCCAGGUGUAGCGGUGAAAUGCGUAGAUAUCUGGAGGAACACCGGUGGCGAAGGCGGCAUCCUGGACCAACACUGACACUGAGGAGCGAAAGCCAGGGGAGCAAACGGG